rnacentral:snRNA from 1 species
UCAGUUCUGAAAGACUUUCACUAACCCGUAGUAGAUCUGUUCUUUUCAGUUUAAUCUCUGAAACUUUUCCAAUGGAAAAGAUUUUUGAUUAUACUUAUUUUUGUCUCCCGUGAGAUAGUCUCUGGGCUUGCCUAUGCUUUCUCGCACUGUGUCACAGGUCUUACACUGCCUCCUGUUGACGCGACCUUUU